rnacentral:rRNA from 1 species
UAAUGCUUGGGAAUAUGCCUUAGGGUGGGGGACAACAGUUGGAAACGACUGCUAAUACCGCAUAACGUCUACGGACCAAAGGGGGCUUCGGCUCUCGCCCUUAGAUUAGCCCAAGUGGGAUUAGCUAGUUGGUGAGGUAAUGGCUCACCAAGGCGACGAUCCCUAGCUGGUUUGAGAGGAUGAUCAGCCACACUGGAACUGAGACACGGUCCAGACUCCUACGGGAGGCAGCAGUGGGGAAUAUUGCACAAUGGGCGCAAGCCUGAUGCAGCCAUGCCGCGUGUGUGAAGAAGGCCUUAGGGUUGUAAAGCACUUUCAGUAAGGAGGAAAGGUUAGUAGUUAAUACCUGCUAGCUGUGACGUUACUUACAGAAGAAGCACCGGCUAACUCCGUGCCAGCAGCCGCGGUAAUACGGAGGGUGCGAGCGUUAAUCGGAAUUACUGGGCGUAAAGCGUACGCAGGCGGUUUGUUAAGCGAGAUGUGAAAGCCCCGGGCUCAACCUGGGAACUGCAUUUCGAACUGGCAAACUAGAGUAUGAUAGAGGGUGGUAGAAUUUCAGGUGUAGCGGUGAAAUGCGUANAGAUCUGAAGGAAUACCGAUGGCGAAGGCAGCCACCUGGGUCAAUACUGACGCUCAUGUACGAANGCGUGGGGGAGCAAACGGGAUUAGAUACCCCGGUAGUCCACGCNGUAAACGAUGUCUACUAGGA